UGAAGGUAUUAACCUGCCAUUCAUCGGCCUCGUGCUGGCCCUUUUCGCAACAUUUCCAAGAGCCGUUGGAUCCACGCCCGCUCGAGAACUUCAUAGCUAUCUCGAAUCUCGUUUAUCGACCUCCUCAUCAGAUACGUAUUUUUCAAUUUCCGAAAGUACUCUUUUGAGGAUUUCUCGAUUUAGCUGUAGUUCGUUUAGUUUUUUUUUUUUCCCCGUUUUUUUUUGGGGGUGGAAAUCGUGUAAUUGGAUUUGUUUAAGUGGGUUGGAAGUCUAGAAAAUCGGUUUAGAGAAUUGGAAAUGGUGUGAGAGAGAUGGGUUUUUGAAACUUGGAUGAUUUUGUUUGGUUUUUUUAGCUGAUGGGUGUUUGAGAUUUCGGGAAAAUAAGCUGGAAUUCGAUCGAUGUCGGUGGGAAUUGUGGGUUUCUGGAGAUGGUUUUUUGGUUUUAUAUGAUUUUGAUGUGUUGGUUAAUUUGAAUCUUUGAAUAGAUUUUGAUUGGGUUCUUUUUUGUUUUUUUUUUUUUCAUUUGAAUGUGACGAGGUUGAGAUUUUUUUUUUUUUUUUAAAUCUCUGAUAAUUCAAAAGUUUGGGUUGUUAAAUAAGCAUUGGAAAGUGGGCUUGAUUGCAUUUUUUAUUAGAGUGAUUAUAAUGUAAAAGUCAAGGGAAAGAGGAUCUAUUUCUCUGGUUUUACUGGGGUUCUUUGAUAUCUUACAGUGCUGUAAUUUGGAGAAAGGGGAUUCUAUUUUGAAGAAAAUCCAAAGGAAGUGGCCUUUUUUCAACUAAAUUUGUUGGGUAUGUGAGAGUGAUUUUGGUUUAUUGAAUGAGGUUUUUGAAGAGUGGGUUUUGAAUUUAAGGUGUGGAGAGCUCCAAUCAUGUGUGGGUUUGUUGUUUCUUUAGUUUUUGGGGCUUGACUAAGGUAGUGUUUUCAGUACCAUCCAACAUGCCUUACUCCGCAAUUUAUCCCUUGGCAAAGGUGAAACCGGAAUCGACCCAAUCGAAGAUGACUAAUUGCUCUGCCGAGCUUGCUUUCUCGCCUGAGAAUGAAUUUGUCGAGCUGCUAUGGGAAAAUGGUCAGAUUGUGAUGCAAGGCCAGUCCAGUAGAACCAGAAAGAGCUCCAUGUUGACUGUUUUCCCCUCCGAUGCUCCCAAGGUCUACGAAAAGGACGAUGGAGAUGCCAUUCUUCCAAAGAUUGGAAGGUAUAGUAAUUUGGAGGCGGUUGUGAAUGAUUUCUCAUCCUCAGGGCCUUCAGGUCAUCCUGGUCUGGUUCAAGAUGAUGAGAUGGUUCCUUGGCUGAACUACCCAAUUGACGAUUCUUUGGAGAAUGAUUAUUCAGAAAUUUUCCCCGAGAAUUUCCCUGAAUUAUCAGGAGUCGAUCUUAAUUCAUUAUCAGCACAGAAUAAUGCAGUACCUAUUGAUAGAAGUGGUAGUUAUGGUCCAGAAGUUAGAGAUACGCAUGCAGUUUCAACACAUGGCUCUGUUAAUCAAGAACAUAAGAAUGCAUCUAGAGUUGGUGGGGGAGGUUCAGAUCCUACUAGAAAUAGAAGCAGUCAGGUAUUUUCGUCACAGCAAUGCCCAAUUUCGGCUCAGAAUAUUCGACCAAGAGUUUCGGAUUUUUCUACGAAUAAUAACAUUAAUCCCCACCAAGCUCCUUGCUUGAAUUCGAUUCAGAAGCCAGUUUCAGCAGCUGGGAUAUCCAAUCUAAAGAUGCACAAGAAAGAUCUGCCUUCUACACGGCCACCUCAACCUAGUAACAAUGUGGGCUUGAUGAACUUCUCCCAUUUCUCAAGACCUGCGGCUCUUGUCAGAGCCAAUCUGCAGAGUAUUGGUGCUGCGGUCACUGGUUCCCCGGGUGUAGAUAGGUUGAGAAGUAGUGACAAAGUGUCUGUCACCGGCAGCAACCCCAUUGAGCCAUCGGUGGUUGAGUCCACGAGUGGUUCGAGAAGUGUCGCUGGAAUUCUACACCAACUGGUUUCAGUGCCUGCCAAGAUGGAUUUAAACCCACCUGAGAAGUGUUCCAAAGUCCCAGUCUCUUUCGAGCAGUCAGAAGCAGUUUGUCCGGAAGACGCCUCGAAAAACAAUAGAUCACCCGACCGUAUGCUUUGUCAGAGCUCAAGUUUUGCAGCAAGCGUCGCCUUAGGAAGAACCGAGAGUGAAAAGGCCUUUGAGCCUGUGGUGGCAUCUUCAUCUGUGUGUUCAGGCAACAGUGCCGGGGGAGCGUCGAAUGAUCCCAAGCAUGGAAUGAAGAGGAAAUCUAGGGAAAUUGAAGACUCAGAGUACCAAAGCGAAGACGUUGAAGAUGAAUCUGUGGAUGUAAGGAAACCGGGUAAGAAUGCCAAGCGAAGCCGAGCUGCGGAAGUUCACAAUCUGUCAGAAAGAAGGCGAAGGGAUAGGAUCAAUGAGAAAAUGCGUGCAUUGCAAGAGCUUAUACCCAACUGUAAUAAGGUGGACAAGGCUUCAAUGCUGGACGAGGCCAUUGAAUAUCUGAAAACCCUUCAGCUUCAAGUGCAGAUUAUGUCAAUGGGAAGCGGGCUGUGUAUGCCUCCAAUGAUGUUACCUGCAGGAAUACAACACAUGCGCCCACCACCCAUGCCACAUUUCCCACCCAUGGGUGUAGGAAUGGGAAUGGGCAUGGGUUUUGGGAUGGGAAUGCUCGACAUGAGCUGUUCCUCUGGUCGCCCUAUGAUUCCUGUCCACCCCAUGCAUGCACUACAGUUCCCGUGCUCAUCUAUUCCGGGACCCCCAAAUUUGCAUGGGAUGCCCGGAGCUGGCCUUCAGAUGUUCGGAAUCCCGGGACAGGGACUUCAUUUGUCUUUGCCUCACCCACCGUUUAUUCCUCUGUCUGGGUUUCCAACAAAGGAGGCUUCGGUACCUCCUGUGUCGGGGUCUGCUAUUCCUGUGUCAGUUCCAGAUUCUGCUCCACCUCCAAGUACAAUGGACCAUACACGAGACAAAAGCUCGCAAAUGAUGCAUAAAGCAAGCGAUGGUUGCCCACAGACUCAGACGUCAACUCAGGCAACAAAAGAAUGCUUUGAACAGUCUGACAUGGUGCAACAGAAUAGUCAAACACCUGCCAAUCUUGAUGGCGACGAAGCCAUCAACAACACCAUUUGUGGAAGUGGGCCUCCAUCCAUCAGGACAUCCACGUAAGAUUGAUGACUGUCUGUCGUAAAUCUCAUGAUCGGAGUUGUUGGAGGGUUGGGACUGGUGCUUAAUUCACUUUAUUCAUUUACACUAUGAAAAAAAAUAACUUGAACUGUUGAGAAAGGUUUUCCAAGACGUGGGGUGCCGGGAGCCUUGACAGUAACCAUAUGCUUUUUGAUCAGCAGGUGGUACUAACUGUGCUGAAUUUUAUGAGUCGAAGAGAAGUUGGCGUCGCUUACCUUUGUACAUUGAGUCACGGGCUGGAUGCGGUUAGAGAGAAUGCCAGAGGUUGAAAUUGAAUUUUCAACAGAUGUUAUCAAAGUUUCAGAUCAAGAAGCUGCCGGAUGAAGCUGCCAACCAUAACCCAAUCCCUUCAUCUUCAGAGAUCCAAAUGAGUAGCAGUUAAUCUACUUUAUGAGACGGGCUUCGUGGGUGUUCCCAUAUUUUAUAAAAUGUGCGAAUCAAAGCAUCAGAAUCAAACAAAUCACCUUCCCUUUCAUUCCUAGAGAAACUUCUAAUCUCAUCCUACUCUAUGGAAUCAACGCCUCAAAUUAGUCUCUAUUUCGCAAGGUACCCCUCAAACAAAUCUUCUUUUGGACACUGCUGCAUUUGGCAAACACACCAACCAUGAUGCAUUCUACAAUUGUAGUGGGUUUUUGUUUUGAGAUAUUUUCACUGAAAUAGAUUGAAUUGUCUA